UCCGAGUUGACCCCGGCAGUCUCCUAUGAGUCCCCACCAUAACGUGCUGGCAACAUAGGACGAGGGUUGCGCUCGUUGCGGGACUUAACCCAACAUCUCACGACACGAGCUGACGACAGCCAUGCACCACCUGUAUAGGACCCUUACGAACCCACUGCAUUUCAGCAGGGUUCCGUACAUGUCAAGGGUAGGUAAGGUUUUUCGCGUUGCAUCGAAUUAAUCCACAUCAUCCACCGCUUGUGCGGGUCCCCGUCAAUUCCUUUGAGUUUUAAUCUUGCGACCGUACUCCCCAGGCGGUCAACUUCACGCGUUAGCUGCGUUACCAAGUCAAUUAAGACCCGACAACUAGUUGACAUCGUUUAGGGCGUGGACUAC
rnacentral:misc_RNA from 1 species